AAAAAAACGAAAACAUACGUUCACACUGGAAUGAAGUUGCGGCGCAAAAAAUCCAUGGUCCACGGAUCGUGUGUGUGAAAUGCGCCGAAAAUAUUUGUGUGCGCUCUUAUGCGGCGAACACGCAGAUAUUUAGUGCCGUACGAACAAAUUUUCGCCGAGUACGACGCACAACGUAAAUUUUUACUAGUGUGGACGCGGCUUAAGAAAUACGCGAAAGUUUACG